UGAAAUUAAAAGACGCUUACUCCUUAGCUAGCUGAGGAGUAAGCAGAGACAUUACUUUGCCAACAAAGGUCCGUCUGGUCAAGGCUAUGGUUUUUCCCGUGGUCAUGUAUGGAUGUGAGAGUUGGACUGUGAAGAAGGCUGAGCACCGAAGAAUUGAUGCUUUUGAACUGUAGUGUUGGAGAAGACUCUUGAGUCCCUUGGACUGCAAGGAGAUCCAACCAGUCCAUUCUGAAGGAGAUCAGCCCUGGGAUUUCUCUGGAAGGAAUGACGCUAAAGCUGAAACUCCAGUACUUCGGCCACCUCACGCGAAGAGUUGACUCAUUGGAAAAGACUCUGAUGCUGGGAGGGAUUGGGAGCAGGAGGAGAAGGGGAUGACAGAGGAUGAGAUGACUGGAUGGCAUCACUGACUCGAUGGACGUGAGUCUCAGUGAACUCCGGGAGUUGGUGAUGGACAGGGAAGCCUGGCGUGCUGCGAUUCAUGGGGUCGCAAAGAGUCGGACAUGACUCAGCGACUGAACUGAACUGAACUGAUCGCCAACCUUCUGUUUCUAAUUGGUCUGGGGUCUAUUACUAGCGGGCACCUUACAGUUAACCUCUUCAACCUGGUGAGGGUUUCGGUAUCUGCAAAACAGCUCAAAGGAAGAGGCUUAUUAGCAUGUUAUCUAUAGCCCUUGAGAAACUAAAGGUCUUUGACUUUGUUUAAUGGCUAAUCUAUUAUUUUUUCUUGCUUGACUGUUUUCCUUUCUGCAUUUUCUCACUUCUCUGAUUAAAUUUGUUCUUUGGAACUUGAGGAAGGCCUAGGAGGCUAAAGUUUUCCUACAUUUCUGAAUGCAUGAACAGGAUGAGGGGUGGUGGGGGAAGUUAUUCUGGGAAGGCCCUAUAGGGUCCUGCUCUGUUAACAUUUUACUGCUUUUCUUGGAUACUCCUCAGUCUUGAGGGGGAACAGGUGUGGAAUAAGAGAGGGGAUAAAGUUUAGGAUUGAGAGGUUAAUUUGAAACUUGGCAGAGGAGCUCAGCUAUAGCUUGAGCUCUUUUGCCACUACUAUUUCUUAAGUAGGAGAAAGAUUUCAUAGUUGUGAGGAGACAUUAAGACCAUGAGGUUCUGAUUGGCAGCUGCUAACAGAUAUAAUAGCUUUUGAUAUUUUAUUUC
ensembl:lncRNA